CGAAAGUGAGCUUCAUUGGUAGAAGCGAUCGACUGUAAAUCGAUAUGUUGUAGGUUCGAUUCCUAUACUUUCUC
rnacentral:tRNA from 1 species